rnacentral:lncRNA from 1 species
UUGCCUUCACUAUGUGAUUACUUUCAAGCAUGUUAUGCCUCUUUAUGUUAUGUUUUUAACCCUUUCCCUCUAUUCCUUUGUAUGUGAGUAUUGUCCUGAACCAUGCACUUUGAAUUGCUGUCUAUAAUCCAGAACUAGACUCUUCUGAGUCUUUAUUCAAUUGCUUUGUGCUGAGCCUUAAUUUGGAUCUGUUGGUAUCCUAAGCACCAU